GUAGGGUGCUAGAGUUGUCCGGAUUUACUGGGUGUAAAGGGUGCUCAGGUGGGUUUGUAAGUCAGAGGUGAAAUCCCAAAGCUUAACUUUGGAGCUGCCUUUGAUACUGCAAGUCUAGAGUUUGAGAGAGGGUAAUGGAAUAUCUGGUGUAGCAGUGAAAUGCGUAGAUAUCAGAUAGAACACCAAUGGCGAAGGCAGUUACCUGGCUCAAAACUGACGCUAAAGCACGAAAGUGUGGGGAGCAAACAGGAUUAGAUACCCUGGUAGUCCACACCCCAAACGAUGAAUACUAGAUGUUGGUUUUUUAUAAAAUCAGUAUCCAAGCUAACGCAUUAAGUAUUCCACCUGGGAAGUACAAUCGCAAGGUUG
rnacentral:rRNA from 1 species